rnacentral:rRNA from 1 species
UACAGAGGGGGCGAGCGUUGUUCGGAAUUACUGGGCGUAAAGGGCGCGUAGGCGGCCUGCUAAGUCGAACGUGAAAUCCCCGGGCUCAACCCGGGAACUGCGUCCGAGACUGGUUGGCUCGAAUCCGGGAGAGGGAUGUGGAAUUCCAGGUGUAGCGGUGAAAUGCGUAGAUAUCUGGAGGAACACCGGUGGCGAAGGCGGCAUCCUGGACCGGUAUUGACGCUGAGGCGCGAAAGCCAGGGGAGCAAACGGG